GUUCCCUAUCUUUGCAGUUGUAAAUUGUGCUGCAGUAAACAUACGAGUACAGGUGUCUUUUUGAUAUAAUGACUUUUUUUCUUUUCGGGAGACAAGACACAAUGGUAGGUCAAUUUUCAGUUCCUUGAAGAAUCUCUAUUCCAUAGAGUUUGUUCUAAUUCACAUUCCCACUUAACAUUGUAUAAACAUUCAUUUGUGUCAACAUCUAUUGUUUUCUGACUUUUCAUAAUGGCCAUUCUGACAGGGUAAGGUGGUAUCUCACUGUGGUUUUAAUUUUCGACUCUGUGAUGUUAAGCAUUUUCUCCUGUUUGUUAGCCAUUUGUGUAUCUUCUUUUGAAAAAUGUCUGUUCAAGUCUUUUGCUCACUUUUUAAUGAGGUUGUUUGUUUUUUGCUGUAAUAGUUUGAGUUCCUUAUAGAUUCUGGAUAUUAGUCCUUUGUCAGAUGUAGUUUGCAAAUGCUUUCUUCCAUUCUGUAGAUUGUCUUUUUACUCUGUUGAUUAUUUCUUUUGCUGCACAGAAGCUUUUUAGUUGAAGUCCCAUAUGUAUUUUUUAUUGUUUUUCAAAUCAAUGAAAAUAAUCUCAAUAGGGUUAUAGGACUUAGCCCACCGCUUGCACGCAGUACUCAAAAAUGAGUUCUGCUUUCCUUAGUUGUAUUUAAUGCACCUGGUCCCCUUGUUGCUCACCUUGAAGUCAUUUCUCUGCCCUCACUUAUGACCCCCAACUAUCUUUAGCAUUUGGGUGUAUUUCUUUCCAAUUUUUCUAAGUUUUAAGAAUAUAUAAUUGAAACAUACUGCAUGUUCUUUUUUCACUUGCUAUUUUUAAGUAUUUUCCUGUGAAAAUUAACUAUGAUUUUUGAUAACUGCUAGAAAGUCCAUUUUACAGAUACCAACAUUCCCUUGGCCAUUUUCCCAUAAUUAAGGCAUAUUAGGCUCAUGUGCUUACACAUAAAUCCUUGUUCACAUUCCUGAUUAUUCCUCUAUCAUAGGCUUCUAAAAAUGGGAUGACGAGGGUAAGCACUUAAAAAGAAAUGAGAGGCUCGGCGCCUGUGGCUCAAGCAGCUAAGGUGCCAGCCACAUAUACCUGAGCUGAUGGGUUCAAAUCCAGCCUAGGCCCGCAAAACACCAACGAUGGCCGUAAUAAAAAAAAAAAAAAAAGAAAAAGAAAAUAGCCAGGUGUUGGGAGGUGGAGGCGGGAGAAUCGCUUGAGCCCAGGAGUUGGAGGUUGCUGUGAGCUGUGAUGCCACGGCACUCUACCCAGGGUGACAGCUUGAGGCUCUGUCUAAAAAAAAAGGAAUAAAAGAAAAAGAAAUGAGAAUACUAGUUUCUCGUUAAGAAGUGGAAGCGAUACUGCUGUUUUCUCACCAGCAGAGUACUAACUUUUCACGUCCCAUUGACAUUAUGACAAAAAACAAUAUGGCUUUAUGAAUCUGAUUCCUUUUUUGUACAUUUUACAAGUAGUAUCGUUUUCUUCAUCCUAAAAAUCAAUGAUCUAAUUAUUUAUAGUGUUAUACACUGUUCAGAGAAUGAUAUAGAUCCGAUGCCUGAGUUUCAAAAGUUUACAGUCUAAAGAAGACACACUGAUGUGAAGAUUCACCAAAUCAGACCAGAACUAUGACAACUGUGCCGUGGAUGGACCUCCAAAUGUGUGCAGGGCAGUCAAAUUCAGAGUAUCAGGACCAAGAGCAUAAUAACAAAUGACUGCUCUCAGCAAGGUGCCGUUCCCCUCCAGCUGGACCUUCUCCUCCCACCUCUGAUGCUGCUGUCCCACAACAAGGAAGCCCAUCCAGAUUCCAGGAACAAACCCCUUGUCUGAUUCAUUCCCACUGAGGAUGUUAAUUAUUCAUGCUGCAUGAUUGAGGAUUUUGGAGUCAGAGAUUCACCUGCAAUAUUUGGAACGCCAGUGGAGGUCUGCAUCAACGCGGAAUUUAUACAGCAGCUGGUGUUAGUCAAAG